rnacentral:rRNA from 1 species
GAUGAACGCUGGCGGCGUGCCUAAUACAUGCAAGUCGAGCGAACGGACGAGAAGCUUGCUUCUCUGAUGUUAGCGGCGGACGGGUGAGUAACACGUGGAUAACCUACCUAUAAGACUGGGAUAACUUCGGGAAACCGGAGCUAAUACCGGAUAAUAUUUUGAACCGCAUGGUUCAAAAGUGAAAGACGGUCUUGCUGUCACUUAUAGAUGGAUCCGCGCUGCAUUAGCUAGUUGGUAAGGUAACGGCUUACCAGGGCAACGAUGCAUAGCCGACCUGAGAGGGUGAUCGGCCACACUGGAACUGAGACACGGUCCAGACUCCUACGGGAGGCAGCAGUAGGGAAUCUUCCGCAAUGGGCGAAAGCCUGACGGAGCAACGCCGCGUGAGUGAUGAAGGUCUUCGGAUCGUAAAACUCUGUUAUUAGGGAAGAACAUAUGUGUAAGUAACUGUGCACAUCUUGACGGUACCGAAUCAGAAAGCCACGGCUAACUACGU